rnacentral:rRNA from 1 species
ACGGGAGGCAGUAGUGGGGAAUAUUGGGCAAUGGGCGCAAGCCUGACCUAGCGACGCCGCGUGAGGGAAGACGGUCUUCGGAUUGUAAACCUCUUUCAGCAGGGAAGAUAAUGACGGUACCUGCAGAAGAAGCCACGGCUAACUACGUGCCAGCAGCCGCGGUAAUACGUAGGUGGCAAGCGUUAUCCGGAAUUACUGGGUGUAAAGGGUGUGUAGACGGGAAUGCAAGUCAGAUGUGAAAAUCAUGGGCUCAACCCAUGACCUGCGUCUGAAACUGUAUUUCUUGAGAGUGGGAGAGGUAAAUGGAAUUCCUGGUGUAGUAGUGAAAUGCGUAGAUAUCAGGAGGAACACCGGUGGCGAAGGCGGUUUACUGGACCACAACUGACGCUGAGACACGAAAGCGUGGGGAGCAAACAGGAUUAGAUACCCUGGUA